UUUCUGUAGGUGAACCUGCGGAAGGAUCAUUACUGAAGCUAAUAGGGUUUGAGACUGCGCUCCUGCGUGUGCUCGACUCUAAACCUUCUAUCCACACACACCUUUUGUGCACCAUGGGGGACGAAAGUCUUCCCCUUUUAUUAUAAACACCAGAGUUUUAAUGCAUGUAGUUUACACUCUACGGAGUAAUGUACAACUUUCAACAACGGAUCUCUUGGCUUUCGCAUCGAUGAAGAACGCAGCGAACGUGCGAAACGUAAUGUGAAUUGCAGAAUUCAGUGAAUCAUCGAAUCUUUGAACGCAUCUUGCGCUCCUUGGUAUUCCGAGGAGCAUGCCUGUUUGAGUGUCGUGAAUUACUCUCAAUUUCAAUCUUGAUUUGAAAUUGGACUUGGGUGUUGUUGUGCUUUCACACAGCUCAUCCUAAAUGCAUUAGCGAUCUGCCCCUUGAUCACACAAUGUGAUAAGCAUAUUUAAAGCAUUGUUAGGGAUUCAAGGUGAUAGCUUCUAAUCGUCGAAAGACAAGCAUAUACAUGUCAUUUGACCUCAAAUCAGGUAGGACUACCCGCUGAACUUAAGCA
rnacentral:rRNA from 1 species